GUUCACGAGCAUCCGGUUGAGAUAUGCAGGUGUUUAUUGGCAAGCUCUCCGCACAUGCAAGAUUCUCAAAGCCAGAAAAAUAGCUGAAGACAAAUGAUUAUCUCACCAUGUUCUUGACGAAGGAUUUUUUUUGCACUGAUGAACGUAGAUCGAUAUACACAAAUGGAAAUACGAAAAUAGGUUUGGGAUGCUGGUAGUGCCAGAUCAGCUGAUUUUGCGGCUUACUGGAUAACGGUUCGUGAAUACAGGGCACCCCGGGUUACAAAAGACCUGAUUUACAGAAACUUGACAAGAUCUCCCCUAAAUUUUUAAAUCAUUUUUCAAGAUAUGAAACUUACAGAAAUGCAGAUACCUUCAGGAGUCGUGGG